UUCGCAAUGCCCGAAAGGGUGACGAAGCGACGCCGCGUGCGGGAAGAAGGCCUUCGGGUUGUAAACCGCUGUCGGGAGUUAAGAAAUGUAAGGAUGUUAAUAGCAUCUUUGCUUGACUAAGGCUCCGGAGGAAGCCACGGCUAACUCUGUGCCAGCAGCCGCGGUAAUACAGAGGCGGCAAGCGUUGUUCGGAAUUAUUGGGCGUAAAGAGCACGUAGGCGGCUAUGUAAGUCGGUUGUGAAAGCCUUCCGCUCAACGGGAGAACAGCAUCCGAUACUGCAUGGCUUGAGUGCGGGAGGGGAGAGUGGAACUUCUGGUGGAGCGGUGAAAUGCGUAGAUAUCAGAAGGAACGCCGGCGGCGAAAGCGGCUCUCUGGCCCAUGACUGACGCUGAGUGUGCGAAAGCUAGGGGAGCAAACGGGAUUAGAUACCCCGGUAGUCCUAGCCGUAAACGAUGGGCACUAAGUAGAGGGGUUUU
rnacentral:rRNA from 1 species